UACGGAGGGCGCAAGCGUUGUUCGGAAUCAUUGGGCGUAAAGCGCGUGCAGGCGGCUUGGUAAGUCGGGCGUGAAAUCCCGGGGCUCAACCCCGGAACUGCACCCGAUACUGCCUCGCUCGAGUCCCGGAGAGGAUGGCGGAAUUUCCGGUGUAGAGGUGAAAUUCGUAGAUAUUCGCAAGAACACCAGUGGCGAAGGCGGCUGACUGGUCCGGUUCUGACGCUGAGGCGCGAAAGCGUGGGGAGCAAACAGG
rnacentral:rRNA from 1 species